GAACUCAUAGCCUUGCUUGUUUUCCCUGACAUCCCCUCAGCAGCCCAGCGUUUGACUGUUUAACCUCACAGGGCCAAAGCUCUGUGCAUGAGUGAUAUUAUUCUCCUUUGUCUCAAAGAAAAAAACCUGAAGAAACAACCCAAAAGAAAACCCCCCAUCAACAUGGUUGUAGUCAGACUCUUCAAGGAGUAAAAAGCAGAUGAUUAUAUCAUCUUGGCUAGAUCACAGAAAGGGUGUUGAGCUGCAGCCUCUUAUUAAUCCCAAGGCUACACCCCGAUGCUGAGUAAAAUGCUGCCAUCUUUUGGCUGCACUCGACAGGAACAGAUAAUGAGAAUAACCCGAAGAAACAACCCAAAAGAAAAUCCCCAUCUACAAAACCAAACAAUGAGGGCAGAGGGGAUGGAUUCAUG